rnacentral:lncRNA from 1 species
AGAGAGAGAGAGAGAGAGAGAGAGAGAGAGAGAGAGAGAGAGAGACUGUGUUUCUUAGUUUUAAUUACAGAUGGUACAAUCUGGAAUCACCCAGGAAAGUCGUCUCAAGGAGAAGUUGUGUGGAUUGCUUGCCUGUGAGGAGUUUUCUUAGUAGGGUAGCUGAGGUGGGAAAGCUCGUCCUGGACACGGGUGGCAGUUUUCCUCAGCUCAGACCCUGGACUGAAGAAAGAAGAAGGUAAGAAAUUUGUUCAGCAAGCACCUGACAUCCCUGGAACGCCUC